GUCGCAGUAACUUAAGUAAAGUAACCUUCAGUCUGCUCACUACAAUCCUCAACUUCUUCGAGCAGACGAAAGGCGAUGCAGGUUCGAAUCCUGCCUGCGGCG
rnacentral:tRNA from 1 species